rnacentral:rRNA from 1 species
CCUACGGGGGGCAGCAGUGGGGAAUAUUGCACAAUGGGCGCAAGCCUGAUGCAGCCAUGCCGCGUGUGUGAAGAAGGCCUUCGGGUUGUAAAGCACUUUCAGCGGGGAGGAAGGCGGUGAGGUUAAUAACCUCAUCGAUUGACGUUACCCGCAGAAGAAGCACCGGCUAACUCCGUGCCAGCAGCCGCGGUAAUACGGAGGGUGCAAGCGUUAAUCGGAAUUACUGGGCGUAAAGCGCACGCAGGCGGUCUGUCAAGUCGGAUGUGAAAUCCCCGGGCUCAACCUGGGAACUGCAUUCGAAACUGGCAGGCUAGAGUCCUGUAGAGGGGGGUAGAAUUCCAGGUGUAGCGGUGAAAUGCGUAGAGAUCUGGAGGAAUACCGGUGGCGAAGGCGGCCCCCUGGACAAAGACUGACGCUCAGGUGCGAAAGCGUGGGGAGCAAACAGGAUUAGAUACCCUUGUAGUC